CCAGCAUUUAAGGUGGGGACUCAGAUGAGACUGCCGGUGACAAACCGGAGGAAGGUGGGGAACGACGGUCAAGUCAUCAUGGCCCUUAUGUCCUGGGCUACACACGUGCUACAAUGGCCGGUACAGAGUAGAAGCGAAACCGCGAGGUGAAGCAAAACGCAGAAAGCCGGUCUCAGUACGGAUUGGAGUCUGAAACUCGACUUCAUGAAGUUGGAAUCGCUAGUAAUCGCGCAUCAGCAUGGCGCGGUGAAUACGUUCCCGGGCCUU
rnacentral:rRNA from 1 species